CAUAGUCUAAGAUCCCUUCCCAUGAGGGUUUCCCACAGGAGCCCCAUGAGUUAAGUACGGUGCCAGUUAGGGUCACAGGAGGCCACCAGGAAGAGCAAGUGGGCACAGAGUGAGGCUAGAGGUCACUGACCCACAGAGGUCAGGAAGGGACUGGUACCCCAAACUCAGAGUGGGGGACAGCAGGGAAGGGUGGGGACUGCAGCAAGCCAGGAAGCCCAUGUUCCAUCCAGAGGGGCUUGGCCAGUGGCCAUCACAUACGGAUGUGGAUGCGGAUGUGGAUGCAGAUGUGGAUGCAGAUGUGAACUCAGGAGCCCGGGUACCAGGGAGGUUGGAGACCUUGAUUUUUGCACCCCAUCUCUGUCCUUGCAGUGCUGGCGACUCAAUCAAAACCUUAAAACAUAUGUGUCAGCAGAAUGAAGGAAGCACAUGAGUCGCCCAGACGCAGUCUCGGGGCUGGGUUUAGUUUCUGCAGUAAAAGUCAGCUCUUACACAGCCAGGCUGCCCAAUGACCACAGCCAGAGCCUGUGCUCUGGGCGAAGCCCCUCACGUUCUUGGUUGUCCUGGAAACCAGGCGGGCCAGGCAACGUCCUCCUCCGCAGGAUGUGGAGGAGGAGCAGGUCUGUUGUUGGCCACCGGCUCUGUCCUCUUUCACAGUGCUGCUAGAACAAUGACCACAGAAUGGGGUGUGGCUGGAGUCUGAUGUGUCCCCCCAAGGCCCGAACACGCUCCACAGCCACCACGGCGCCAGCUGACACAGGCCUCCCGCCACCCCACUCCGUCACAGAGCUGCCACAGCACAGCUGCCGGCACCGGGAGCUCCACGCACCGGUGUACCUCACGCCUAUCAUAAGCCACAUGCAGAGUCUGGUGGCCUCAUUGAUCCAUCCUGGGGACCCCGUAACAUCCAUCAUGGUCCUGUCCUUGAAGGGUGCUGUUAAAACCCACCUGCACUUAGAGCAUGUGCCGAGGUGACUGAUACCUGCUUCUGAGACCAGCCAGCCGCCUGCCCUCAGCUUCUCCCGUCACUCCUGCCCGGCACGGAUGGUGGCCCACCAGGAGUCCGUCACAGGGAGCCAGCUCCGGUGCAUCCAGCGCCCAGGGCCCUUGGGGAGCCCCCUGCUGCUCUGCUUUGUCUGGCCAGCGGGAGAGCGGAGGCAAAGAGGACAGCGCAGUGCCCGUGGCCAAGCCUAGAGGUGGCGUAGACUGCGCUCGCAGGCAGUGCCACCUAGAUCCCAGCCACUGGGCACCCCAGCCGCGAGAGCCACCCAGAAAUGUGCCCUCCCUGUGUGCCCAGGAUGAGCGGCAGGCGAGCCUUGGCUGUCCACUGCCCCACGAGGUCUCUGCAGAAAGCAGCUGGGCCAGAGCACCGCAACAGAAGAUUGAGUCGCACACCAAGAGAAAAGGAUUACAGGUGCGCACCACUCUGCCUGGUGUGAGUGCUUAAAUAAAACUGAAAUGUGAAAGAUAUCUUCAAGAUUCAACACUUAACUUUUGGCGGCAGGGAGGGAAGUCCAGGACAAAAUUUCCAGGCAGGCCGCCUGCCCUGGGUUGGUUCUGUGGCAGCUCAGCCCCCAGCUCAUCCCCACCAGUGGACGGCUUUGGGGUGAACUUCUGCGCCAGGAGCCGGUGCGUCUCCUGCCCCCAGAAGCAUCCCGACCCUGGAACAGCGGGGCCUGGGUUCCAAUCAUGACUAUUGUGUGGCCAGUGCAAUAAAGGGUGGC
ensembl:lincRNA